rnacentral:sRNA from 1 species
GGGGAGGGGUAGGGCCAACCGCCUGGACGCCCCAAGGGCAGGCGCAGAUCACGGAGCCAUGGAUUGCACUUUCGAAGACAUGCUUCAGCUUAUCAACAACCAAGACAGUGACUUCCCUGGCCUGUUUGACCCACCCUAUGCUGGGAGUGGGGCAGGGGGCACAGACCCUGCCAGCCCCGAUACCAGCUCCCCAGGCAGCUUGUCUCCACCUCCUGCCACAUUGAGCUCCUCUCUUGAAGCCUUCCUGAGCGGGCCACAGGCAGCGCCCUCACCCCUGUCCCCUCCCCAGCCUGCACCCACUCCAUUGAAGAUGUACCCGUCCGUGCCCACUUUCUCCCCUGGGCCUGGUAUCAAGGAAGAGUCAGUGCCACUGAGCAUCCUGCAGACCCCCACCCCACAGCCCCUGCCAGGGGCCCUCCUGCCACAGAGCUUCCCAGCCCCAGCCCCACCGCAGUUCAGCUCCACCCCUGUGUUAGGCUACCCCAGCCCUCCGGGAGGCUUCUCUACAGGUAAGGGGGAUGUGUGGCGGGAGGGGACACCCGGGGUGGGGCUUCCAGGAGCACAGGAAGAAGCUUCUGCUGUGAUGUGAGU